GGAAUUAGUUUGUAGAACUGUCCUUGCCAGUUUCCUAAUACUGGAUUGACUGAUUGAUUGACUGGCAGGUGAGACUGCUGGAAGCAAAGGUAGAUCUAGGGGAGCACAACCAUUGGGUCGCACCAGGUGCUGAGCUUCUGGGGUGCCACAACAAAUGCCACAACUAUGGAGUCCAAUGGAAGGCGGGGGGCAGAUUUUGGCGUUGUACAGGGCACCACUGAACUUUGAGAUGCCACGGUCCACCACUGCUGGAAGAUGGGAGCCAGUUUGCUUCAUACUGAGCAGCUGGGUAGAAUACUGCCUGCACAUUUCCCCCUUACACCUCUGUGCAUAAAAGUUUAGGUAAGCAAGAAGCAUCUCAGUUCAACGACACAUUCCAGCCUGGCAGAAACACUCAAGGGAAUACAAAGCAGGGCUGGUAAGUGGUGUGGAAAGUCUCAUGGACAAAAUAUCUCACAUCCCUGGUUUAAACUAAUGUGCAAAGCAGGCCUAAUUCAGUUUCAUGUCCUGUGCAUAUCUACUGUAAGAUGCAUGACAACUCAAGCAGGCCUCUUGUUCAUAUUUUAUAUUUAAGUCAUCACAAUCUCUUAAUAAAUUAAGUAAGUUUGCUGGAAGGCUGUCAUUGGAUGAGUAGCAAAAUGAUAGAGUCAUUAGUUCUCCCAUGUCAAAACUUGGCUUCUUGCAUUGACUGUGAACUUUUAUCAUGGUUCUGGUUAACUUAUCUGUUAAUUAUGAAAGUAUCAAGUUGUUAUUUACUCUGAAGAGCAAGAUCUUUCUUGGCACAUCCCCAGACCUCACCCCAGAUCACUGAGGCACAACCUACCAUAUGGGCAGUUUUUGAGAAUAAGGGGUAACUGUUCCACAGAAACUCAUUUUGUAUGUGAAUUUCAUGUUACUGAGUAAUCAGCUACUUGGCAGUGACAUAUAGCUUAAGUAAAGCUUCACAGGUUUCAUGACCUGAUCUUUGUCACUGAUAAGGGUGCAUAUAUUUGAAGCUAUUUGAAAAAAAUACUUCUUGAUGAAUGGGUGGGAGUUUUCACUUAUUGGGAGCAAGUAAAACUAAAAUUAUUACAGGAAGGAGCUGUGUUGGUCUGACGCAGUUGAAAUAUAUAUAUCUAAAUAAAAAAAAUUGUCCAGUAGCACCUUAGAGACUAAUUACAUUUGUUCUUGGUAUAAGCUUUCGUGUGCAUGCACACUGCUUCAGAUACGAAGGGGAGAUACAGGGAGAAGUAUCUGAAGAAGUGUGCAUGCACACAAAAGCUUAUACCAAGAACAAACAAACUUUGUUGGUCUCUAAGGUGCUACUGGACUAUAUAUAUAUAUAUAUAUAUAUAUAUAUAUAUAAUUACAUUUAUGUCCGUUAUAAUGAUUCCAUAUUCUAAUGAUAUACACACAACACACACACACACAUGUAUUUGCAAGUUUGGGCCUUUGAUGAUACAGAAAAUAACAAUAUAUUAAAACACUUUGCUAAGGUUAAAUACUAAGGAACUCACCCUAAAUAGUAUUGGUAUUUGAUAACCAAAGAUUAUUCACCUACAAAACCAUUUAUAUCUGUUAUGAAUUUUGGGGAGAGCCAAGCUAGCUCUCUGUGUUGAAGUGAUAGCCUGGGUGAUGAGGCAUUAAGGGAAACAAAGGAAAGUGGAUCUGUGUAAGAUGCUGUCUACUGGCUGGUAGUUAGAAAAAGACAAAGGCAAAAGUUGAGUGGUAGUGCUAUGACCUGGAAGUAGAGCAGUAAGCUGGAGAGAGAGCAAUUCUUGAGAGCAAUGUUUUAUUCCUGUUGGAAUCCAAGGCUGCGAUUAUGGCAGAAAAAAGACUGUUUUCUGAUGUCCAUGCUGUCAGCCCCUCCAUCGCAGGCUAAGAUUGUAUAUAUGUAAAUAAACCAUAUAUCAUAAAGACACCACAAUCUCUGCUGUGACUAAUUCCCAAAGGAAACAUUAACCCAGAGUAAGUGCCUAGAACCCCUGGAAUUUUGCACUGUUCAGAGAUUGGGGUGGCAUGCAACAUAUCUAAAUAAGAGAAGGACAAACAGCAGGAGAUCUUGGAGUAGAUGAAUAUUCUCUUUCAAUAAAGGCUCAAGGUUUUCCAUUUAUUUAGAUUCCAAAAGAAAUUGUAUCAAAGAAAGCACUCAAAUCUUAUUUAUUUCUCUGAAUGUGAUUUUUAAAUAUAGUAAACUUGCAAUCUCCAAAACAUUAAAAACCAGGCCAGAAAGAUUAAAAAUGCAGGAGGGGCUCCUUGAUCUUUUCUCUGCCCCUUAAUUUACCACCACAUCUCCUUCCCCUUGCCUUUUAUUCUCAGCUGUCUCAGAAGCUGAACAUAAGUCUAGGUGAAAGAGAAAAAGGCCUAGAGGAGAGAAAGAAUCAGCGUGUGGCAGCCUGGUUGAGCGUUCUUCUCCUGUCUUCUCAUUCGCCUUUGCAGACGUCCUCCCCAGGCAAGUUGAAAGUUAUGUCAAAG
rnacentral:lncRNA from 1 species